CAAAAGGCUCCAAAAACCCUAAUCUCAAUCCUCUCCAUCUCCACCCUCUACCGACUGGCCACACUUCUCAUCGACAACAAACCACGAAGCCCCGAAAGAAAGCACAUCUCGAUCACACUACUUGGUUUCUCAUCGAUGUCGACCCAUGACAUUUUGGCUGGCCCCUACUCGAUUUCUCAAUUAGACAGCGACCCACGGAGCUGACGACCCACAAAGCUGAUGUAUAUAUGAUGAAGGCUCUAAUCUGUUCCGUCUCAUUCCAUCAGUUACUACUAGAUGCCGCUAGCAGUGGCGGAGGAGGAAAACAUAAGAGACUGUUAAACUCUUAACACGUUGCUCAGUCAAAAAGUUAUCAAUGGUGGCUAGUAGUGAAGAUGGGUCGACGGUAGAACAAGAUGUAAUAGAACUAAAGCACCACAGUCCCGUCUAUGUCCUCGAUGGCUCGUUAUAUAGAGAUGAUGAAGCAUCUCUAUGAAAAAAAAAUUACGAUUUCACUUCUUGGUAAACUCUUGUUAUUCAACCAUUUGUGGCAGCUGCUUUGUCAAAAGUUAUUAGUCCAAUUAAACUGACUUAGUAAUUUUAUUUGUCUGAUUUUACUCUAUGAUAGUUCAAGGAAUGAUAAUCCAUUUGUCUAAACCUUCAAAUUUUUCAAGGAUAUAAA